rnacentral:rRNA from 1 species
CAGCCGCCGCGGGAACACGAAGGGUGCAAGCGUUAAUCGGAAUUACUGGGCGUAAAGCGUGCGUAGGCGGUGAGUUAAGUCUGCUGUGAAAUCCCCGGGCUCAACCUGGGAAUGGCAGUGGAUACUGGCUCGCUAGAGUGUGUCAGAGGAUGGUGGAAUUCCCGGUGUAGCGGUGAAAUGCGUAGAGAUCGGGAGGAACAUCAGUGGCGAAGGCGGCCAUCUGGGACAACACUGACGCUGAGGCACGAAAGCGUGGGGAGCAAACAGGAUUAGAUACCCGGGUAGUCCCUGUCUCUUAUAC